CGGGACGGGUGAGUGAUGUCUGGGAAACUGCCUGAUGGAGGGGGGUAACUACUGGAAACGGUAGCUAAUACCGCAUAACGUCGCAAGACCAAAGAGGGGGACCUUCGGGCCUCUUGCCAUCGGAUGUGCCCAGAUGGGAUUAGCUAGUAGGUGGGGUAAAGGCUCACCUAGGCGACGAUCCCUAGCUGGUCUGAGAGGAUGACCAGCCACACUGGAACUGAGACACGGUCCAG
rnacentral:rRNA from 1 species